AGUGAACGCUGGCGGUAGGCCUAACACAUGCAAGUCGAACGGCAGCACAGUAAGAGCUUGCUCUUACGGGUGGCGAGUGGCGGACGGGUGGGUAAUACAUCGGAAUCUACUUUUUCGUGGGGGAUAACGUAGGGAAACUUACGCUAAUACCGCAUACGACCUACGGGUGAAAGCAGGGGAUCUUCGGACCUUGCGCGAUUGAAUGAGCCGAUGUCGGAUGAGCUAGUUGGCGGGGUAAAGGCCCACCAAGGCGACGAUCCGUAGCUGGUCUGAGAGGAUGAUAAGCCACACUGGAACUGAGACACGGUCCAGAAUCCUACGGGAGGCAGCAGUGGGGAAUAUUGGACAAUGGGCGCAAGCCUGAUCCAGCAAUACCGCGUGGGUGAAGAAGGCCUUCGGGUUGUAAAGCCCUUUUGUUGGGAAAGAAAAGCAGCAGGUUAAUACCCCGCUGUUCUGACGGUACCCAAAGAAUAAGCACCGGCUAACUUCGUG
rnacentral:rRNA from 1 species